AGUGGCGAACGGGUGAGUAACGCGUGAGUAUCUGCCCUUAGGAGGGGGACAACAGUUGGAAACGACUGCUAAUACCCCAUAUGUCUACGGAUGAAAGAUUUUAUCGCCUGAGGAUGAACUCGCGUCUGAUUAGCUAGUUGGUGAGGUAAUGGCUCACCAAGGCAACGAUCAGUAGCUGGUCUGAGAGGAUGAUCAGCCACACUGGGACUGAGACACGGCCCAGACUCCUACGGGAGGCAGCAGUGGGGAAUUUUCCGCAAUGGGGGCAACCCCGACGGAGCAAUACCGCGUGCGGGAGGACGGCCUGUGGGUUGUAAACCGCUUUUCUCAGGGAAGAAGACCUGACGGUACCUGAGGAAUCAGCAUCGGCUAACUCCGUGCCAGCAGCCGCGGUAAUACGGAGGAUGCAAGCGUUAUCCGGAAUUAUUGGGCGUAAAGCGUCCGUAGGUGGUUAAUCAAGUCUGCUGUUAAAGAGCGGAGCUUAACUCCGUUUAAGCGGUGGAAACUGGUUGACUAGAGAGUGGUAGGGGUAGAGGGAAUUCCCAGUGUAGCGGUGAAAUGCGUAGAUAUUGGGAAGAACACCGGUGGCGAAAGCGCUCUACUGGGCCACAUCUGACACUGAUGGACGAAAGCUAGGGGAGCGAAAGGGAUUAGAUACCCC
rnacentral:rRNA from 1 species